AGAGAACGCUGGCGGCAGGCUUAACACAUGCAAGUCGAGCGGGCAUAGCAAUACGUCAGCGGCAGACGGGUGAGUAACGCGUGGGAACGUACCUUUUGGUUCGGACAAACUGAGGGAAACUUCAGCUAACACCGGCUACGCCCUUACGGGGAACGAUUUAGCGACGACAGAUCGGCCCGCGCCGGAUUAGCAAGUUGGUGAGGUAAUGUCUGACCAAGGCGACGAUCGGCAGCUGGUCUGAGAGGAUGAUCAGUCACAUUUGGAAUGAGACGCGGCCCAAACUCCUACGGGAGGCAGCAGUGGGGAAUAUUGGACAAUGGGCGCAAGCCUGAUCCAGCCAUGCCGCGUGAGUGAUGAAGGCCCUAGGGUUGUAAAGCUCUUUUGUGCGGGAAGAUAAUGACGGUACCGAAAGAAUAAGCCCCGGCUAACUUCGUGCCAGCCGCCGCAGUAA
rnacentral:rRNA from 1 species